rnacentral:lncRNA from 1 species
CACUGACCCUUUUCGGACUCAGCCUGCCUGCACCCAGGUGAAGUGAGCAACAGCCAUGUUGCUCACACAAAGCCUGUUUGGUGGUCUCUUCACAUGGACGCGCAUGAAAUUUGGUGCCGUGACUCGGAUCGGGGGACCUCCCUUGGGAGAUCAAUCCCCUGUCCUCCUGCUCUUUGCUCCGUGAGAAAGAUCCACCUACGACCUCAGGUCUUCAGACCGACCAGCCCAAGAAACAUCUCACCAAUUUCAAAUCCGAGCCCAAGCUGAGAAUCUAUAAGAGCAGGAACAAAAUACUUUUCUUCCCGAGGAGGCGGAGCUCAGGCAGUAAUGCUCGCUCACCUGCUGCUCAACAUCUGCGGCUCAACUUCUGCUGUAUGGCCCUGCUCCUAACAGGCCACAGACCGCUACGGAGGAAUCCUGCUCUACAACACUGGUUACUGUUUGCUUGCCCAGAUUCCACUUCAAGAUUCACAUGUCCUUGUUGCCUUGCAUUUAUUUGCUCCUUUAGCUUAUCUGCUUUGACUUUUUUUUUUUUUUUUCUUUUUUGAGACGGAGUCUCGCUCUGUCGCCCAGGCUGGAGUGCAGUGGCGGGAUCUCGGCUCACUGCAAGCUCCGCCUCCCGGGUUCACGCCAUUCUCCUGCCUCAGCCUCCCAAGUAGCUGGGACUACAGGCGCCCGCCACUACGCCCGGCUAAAUUUUGUAUUUUUAGUAGAGACGGGGUUUCACCGUUUUAGCCGGGAUGGUCUCGAUCUCCUGACCUCGUGAUCCGCCCGCCUCGGCCUCCCAAAGUGCUGGGAUUACAGGCGUGAGCCACCGCGCCCGGCCGACUUCAGUUCUAAUAUAUGUCCAUCCUGCUUUUCCUUACCUUGUUUUUCAGUUGUGGCACCUGUAUUCUUUUAAAUCCCUGAUGGAGGCAAUGUGACAAAGCAGAAAGUCAGGCAGACGAGGAUUCUAAAUGUAGCUCUGGACUACGUAUGUGACAUUUUAAUUAUUAAAACUCCCUGAUGCUCAAUUUCUUCAUCUGGUAAUCAGUAUGAUGCUGCCUUUGCAUGAUUAUUGAUAGACUUACAUCUGAUAAUCUUUGUAAAUGGCCAGCAAACACCUAAAAAAUAGUAGGGAAUACUGCCUUUUUUUUUUUUUUUUUUUUUUUUUAACCAUCCCCUUUUUUCUUUCUUCUCAAUUUGUUUUCAAUAGACUGUAAGUUCAUGAAGACAGGGCCAAUGCCUGCCUUGUUCUUUCUUGUAACAACCACAGAACAUAGAAUAGUGGCACGGUUCAGCUCCACUUAAAGACAUAGUACCUGUCUGAAGGAAAGAAAGGAAUAAAAAAAGAAUCAAUCAAUGAAUCAUUCAUCUUCUGACUUAAAUCCAAUUUCAACUACUGCUUCUACAUCUCACAGCAGAUCUGUGUGCCUGAAUUCCAUUUUUCAUUUUUGUCUUUUUCUUUAUUUUUAUUCUUAUUUUUAUUUUAUUAUUAUUAUACUUUAAGUUUUAGGGUACAUGUGUACAAUGUGCAGGUUAGUUACAUAUGUAUACAUGUGCCAUGCUGGUGUACUGCACCCAUUAACUCGUCAUUUAGCAUUAGGUAUAUCUCCUAAAGCUAUCCCUCCCUCCACCCCCCACCCUACAACAGUCCCGAGAGUGUGAUGUUCUCCUUCCUGUGUCCAUGUGUUCUCAUUGUUCAAUUCCCACCUAUGAAUGAGAAUAUGCAGUGUUUGGUUUUUUGUUCUUGUGAUAGUUUACUGAGAAUGAUGAUUUCCAAUUUCAUCCAUGUCCCUACAAAGGACAUGAACUCAUCAUUUUUUAUGGUUGCAUAGUAUUCCACGGUGUAUAUGUGCCACAUUUUCUUAAUCCAGUCUAUCAUUGUUGGAUAUUUGGUUGGUUCCAAGUCUUUGCUAUUGUGCAUAGUGCCACAAUAAACAUAUGUGUGCAUGUGUCUUUACAGCAG